GAUGAAGAACGCAGCGAAAUGCGAUAAGUAAUGUGAAUUGCAGAAUUCAGUGAAUCAUCGAAUCUUUGAACGCACAUUGCGCCCCCUGGUAUUCCGGGGGGCAUGCCUGUUCGAGCGUCAUUUCACCACUCAAGCCUCGCUUGGUAUUGGGCAACGCGGUCCGCCGCGUGCCUCAAAUCGACCGGCUGGGUCUUCUGUCCCCUAAGCGUUGUGGAAACUAUUCGCUAAAGGGUGUUCGGGAGGCUACGCCGUAAAACAACCCCAUUUCUAAGGUUGACCUCGGAUCAGGUAGGGAUACCCGCUGAACCUAAGCAUAUCAAUAAGCGGAGGA
rnacentral:misc_RNA from 1 species